GACGAACGCUGGCGGCGUGCUUAACACAUGCAAGUCGAACGGAAAGGCCCUGCUUUUUUGGUGUGCUCGAGUGGCGAUCGGGUGAGUAACACGUGAGUAACCUGCCCUUGAUUUUGGGAUAACUUCAGGAAACUGGGGCUAAUACCGGAUAGGAGCCCCUGCUGCAGGGUGGGGGUUGGAAAGUUUCGGCGGUUGGGGAUGGACUCGCGGCUUAUCAGCUUGUUGGUGGGGUCGUGGCUUACCAAGGCUUUGACGGGUAGCCGGCCUGAGGGGGUGACCGGCCACAUUGGGACUGAGAUACAGCCAGGACUCCUACGGGAGGCAGCAGUGGGGAAUAUUGCACAAUGGGCGGAAGCCUGAUGCAGCAACGCCGCGUGCGGGAUGACGGCCUUCGGGUUGUAAACCGCUUUCGCCUGUGACGAAGCGUGAGUGACGGUAAUGGGUAAAGAAGCACCGGCUAACUACGUG
rnacentral:rRNA from 1 species